UUUAUUCAGAGUUGGUAGUCAGUGAGAUUAUAUACUGAAAGUCUUAAAGAGCAUUGAGAGGAGAAUAAUAAGGAAAGCAAAGCUGCCUUUGCAGCUGGCGUGAAAAGAAGAAGGCCAGCGUUAGAAAAGGAAGCUGCUUUGGAACUGGACAAGGCGGGCAGAGGAGCUGCUUUGGCAGCUGGAUAGGUCAGAAACAAGAAGAAAAAGAAAAGUCAAAAAGUUAGUGAGGGCAGCGAGGCUGCCAGGAGGAAAAGAAAAAAAAAAUAAUAAAAAGAUGCUGCCCAAAGUAGCGCAGAAAACGGGUUAAAGAGAGCAGCGCGCGAGGAAAUACGGGGGGGAGAGAGGGACGGAAAGAAGCAGCCAAGCUGCCUUUGGCAGCUUGAGAGACAGACAGAGGAAAAGAAACGAAGGAGGUGACACGGGGCAGGAGAAGAAGGCUAAAGCUGCCAUUUGGCAGCUUGAGCAGGGGGGAUUGGAAAGAGUCGCAGGGGGGUCACAAGCUGCCUUUGGCAGUUUGACUGGCAGGACAGUGCGGCAUGGCAGGAGAGAAGUGACGCAGGGAGUGAGGGCAGAAGCACAGAAACGCAGCAGAUCUUAUUCUCUCGGUUAAAUCUUUCCAACUUAUGAUUAAUUUUUGGUUUAAUUUUAGAAUAAUGUGUAGCUAAAUUUAUUUUGGCUAGAGGUUAAUUCAAAGCCAUGAAUAUAUUUGUAAUAUGAAUUGAUUACCUUCGGUUGUGAUUUCAUAAGUUGUGAUUUCAAUUUACUUAUCCGUU
rnacentral:lncRNA from 1 species